rnacentral:rRNA from 1 species
UACAGAGGGUGCGAGCGUUAAUCGGAAUUACUGGGCGUAAAGGGCGCGUAGGCGGCCUUCUAAGUCGGACGUGAAAUCCCUCGGCUUAACCGAGGAACUGCGUCCGAGACUGAAAGGCUUGAAUCCGGGAGAGGGAUGUGGAAUUCCAGGUGUAGCGGUGAAAUGCGUAGAUAUCUGGAGGAACACCGGUGGCGAAGGCGGCAUCCUGGACCGGCAUUGACGCUGAGGCGCGAAAGCUAGGGGAGCAAACGGG